UGAUCUCUCAGCGUUUCCCUCUAUAUCCGACUCCGGGUUUUUAUUAUCUAGACCAAUUAAGGAAUCCAUUUACAAACUCGGGAGAAGAAAGGGUUUAUCUUACUUACAGGUUAUAUCUAGUCCACCAUCAAAGGAAACCAGGGAAGAAACUGAAGCGGAGGCCAUGGAGAAAUGCUACUUGCUGGCUUGCUCAGGCCCAUCUGCACAGGCAUGGCACCGCCCACCGUGAGCUGCACCGCCCACCCCAGCUAGUAAUCAAGGAACUGCCCCACAGAGGAGCCGAGCCGAAGGCAGCUUGCCUUUGAUGGAGGCAGCUCCUCAUCAGAGGUCCCCUCUCUCCAGGUCUCUCUGCUUUGUGUCAAGUUGUCUAAAACCAAACAGUGCAACCUCAAAUAAGCAGAAAAGGACCAAGAGGCCCAGAGGCACAAUUUCUGUGGGCACUUUGGCCCUGCGUGUGCCAUCCCUUGUAAAGACUUCGUGAUGAGCUUCAGCCUGUGUCUCCUGAACUGUGCUCUGUCCAGUGGCUCCUGAUUCUAAGCAGCAGGCUUUAUAAAAUAAAACACACAUUUUUAUCUCACAAAGGCCAAAGAUUCUUCAAUUUUUUUCCCCAAAGCUCCUCUGAUAUCCGUUGGAUCUUUACAGGGAAUGGCAGGCCAUGAAAAUAGGUAUGGAUUCAGAAACCGUCUGUGAGGAACCCAAGAGCACAACGUUACCCCACAGUGCCUGCCUCACAAACUUUCAGCCUUGGAGAUUUCAAGUGAGAGAAGAUAAAAAGUUCCCUGCCUCAAGUUGGACAUCUGAAGUCCUGUGCUGCCUGAAGGGGAUAGAGACAGACACAUAACCUACAUCUUCAAGACGAUGGCUUGUCCAAAGGCUGAGGACAACUCCAGUUCAGGGGUUAGAAGGCCCAUCGGGUCCAUCACAGCUCUGUGCAGAGUCCCCUAGAGUGCUCAGGCGUCUUACUACUGGCUCCUUUGACUCCCACAGCAAGAAACAGACAGUCCUCUGGGUCCCCAACAGUGGGACCUAAGCUGAUGCCACAGGCUCCAUCUGCAGCUACUAUUUAUUUAUUGUCCUAUUAUCAAUAAAAACUUGGGAGUCGGGUAUUGGGGUAGAAACCCAAUAGAUCAAGAAAGCGACAGAAGAACGACCAACCUACCCCCUCUCUCCAUGCCUCCCUGAUCAAAGGGGCCCUUGGAUCUUUCUAAGCCCCUCCCUACUCUUUCCUGUGCUUCUCUAUCCUAUCCUGGGUCCUCCAAGAUCUCUAUGGCUAAUUUAAGUCAGCUAGUCAUUGACUCCACCCCCCCCCCAUUCAAGGUCAACUUUAUUAACAGUCUCCGGAGUGUCACGGUGUGAUCAAAUAUCCCCGCCACAUCCAUCUUCGCCACGCAGCCCCCAAGGCUGCGCUGAGCAUUGUGCUUGAACUAACAGAACAGAGAUGGGGUCACACAAGGAAGGCAAUUAUUCAAAAUGCUGCCCUAUGUCGUUGGCUGGAAGUCAGUCACAUGACUCUCUCUCUCUCUCUCUCUCUCUCUCUCUCUCUCUCUCUCUCUCUCUCUUUCUCUCUCUCCCUCUCUCUCUCUCUGGAAGGAGGUCUGGAAAUGCGGCCUGGCUGUGUACACAGGAAUGAGAGAGCAGAAAGCCGGGUGGAUGAGAGUCAACUUUGCCUUGCUCCCGGACUUCACAGCUGUUGUCUUGGAGACCUGAAGAUGCCCAUCAGUAGUCCCCCCUUGCCUCACCCUGCCUUCCUGCCCAUCUCCCUGUCUGCCGGCACCGCUGCUCUGCCCUUCACACUACAUACAGCUUACGGCCUUUCCAUGGGUGUCUGCUACCUCAACCCAGAAGAACAGUAUGUACUUACUCGUACUUCAAAACUGUGCCUGUGGAGUUGGGCCUGUGGGUCAGACAGACCUGUAAUAGUAAUUACUCAGGAGGCUGAGCAGAAGCUCAAGCCUGUCUGGGCAGCAGAGUGAAGUCAAGCCUAGUUCCAGUAAAUUAGUAAGCCCCUGCCUCAAAAUAGUAUUUAUGAAGGGGACUGUGUGGUUCAGUGCUUGCCUGGCCCCAGGCAUCAUCCCCAACACUGAAAAGAAAACACAAAAAAGAAAACUCCACUCUUGGGGACUUUUACAACCCAGUAGGUAAAACCCGAACAGCCCAAAUCAGCAUUUAGACACGGGAAGCUCCCUUCCUCCCCUUCACUCCCAACUCCGGCCACGCUGUGGGACCACAGCUGCCACAGUUACUACCCUGUCCAGGAGAGGGCAUAGUCGCACUUGAUUCAGUGUCCAUGUCUUGGGGAAGAGAGGCAGAAAUGGGGUCUGCUUCCGUCUUUGGGCACACGGCGUGAAGAUGUUGGGAACUUGGAGAUAGAGGGCAGCCUGCCUGGCUGAGCCCAUGGCUGAGAGCAGGGUCACAGCUCCCACCGAGACUGGGUGGGCUGUCAGCUGUGUUGGGAUUUAUUUGGUCACUAAAGUGUGUAGACCCGAGCGGCCUGACUUUCCCCUGGGGCUUUUAUCCUGUGUCCCUCUCCCUCAGUGCCCUGAACCUGGAAAUAUCAAAGACUGGAAGUGUGCCCGAGGUACCAGGAAGCAGGUCCCCGCAUUGACCUGUUGAUAUGUUUAUUAUAUUAUAUAUAUGUUUAUUUAUAUUAUAUUACAUUAUAUUAUAGUGCCAUCCUCAUGCAAGUAUGCAAAGUAUAGUGAGCACACUCUGUCCCUGUACCCACUUCUCUCCCCUCCCGAUCCGCCCACCCCUGUCCCCUUUUUUGUCCCCUAGGCCUAGAUAGCUUUGUUUCCACUUCUGUCUAAUCUGUAUGUAUGGUUUUAUGUAUCUAUAUAACAUCUAGAACCCACAGAAAACAAGCCA